rnacentral:piRNA from 1 species
UGCAGUUCUGCGGGAUGAUGUGACC